rnacentral:rRNA from 1 species
UACGUAGGCAGCAAGCGUUGUUCGGAAUUACUGGGCGUAAAGAGCUCGUAGGCGGUUUGUCGCGUCUGCUGUGAAAACGCGAGGCUCAACCUCGCGCCUGCAGUGGGUACGGGCAGACUAGAGUGCGGUAGGGGAGAUUGGAAUUCCUGGUGUAGCGGUGGAAUGCGCAGAUAUCAGGAGGAACACCGAUGGCGAAGGCAGAUCUCUGGGCCGUAACUGACGCUGAGGAGCGAAAGCGUGGGGAGCGAACAGG